rnacentral:lncRNA from 1 species
CCCCACCUCGCCGGUUUAUAGUCCAACCUCGCCGGCAUAUAGCCCUACCUCUCCUGCAUACAGCCCCACAUCCCCCUCUUAUAGCCCAACAUCCCCGUCUUACAGCCCUACGUCGCCUUCAUACAGCCCUACAUCUCCUUCAUACAGCCCUACAUCCCCAUCAUACAGUCCUACCUCCCCCUCGUACAGCCCAACAUCACCUGCAUACAGCCCUACCUCGCCUGGAUACAGCCCAACAUCACCAAGUUACAGCCCGACAUCUCCAAGCUACAGUCCUACUUCUCCGAGCUACAAUCCUUCAUCAGCCAAAUACAGCCCUUCGCAUGCUUACUCUCCAAGCAGUCCAAGGAUGACUCC